CGGGGGGGCAAGCAUUGUUCGGAAUUACUGGGCGUAAAGGGCUUGUAGGCGGCCAACUAAGUCCGACGUGAAAUCCCCAGGCUUAACCUGGGAACUGCGUCGGAUACUGGAUGGCUUGAAUCCGGGAGAGGGAUGCGGAAUUCCAGGUGUAGCGGUGAAAUGCGUAGAUAUCUGGAGGAACACCGGUGGCGAAGGCGGCAUCCUGGACCGGCAUUGACGCUGAAAAGCGAAAGCCAGGGGAGCAAAACGGGAUUAGGAUACCCCGGUAGUCCUGGCCCUAAACGAUGAAUGUUUGGUGUGGCGGGUAUCGAUCCCUGCCGUGCCGAAGCUAACGCAUUAAACAUUCCGCCUGGGGAGUACGGUCGCAAGGCUG
rnacentral:rRNA from 1 species